rnacentral:rRNA from 1 species
AUUGAACGCUGGCGGCAGGCCUAACACAUGCAAGUCGAGCGGGGCGGCGGUCGGGUGAGUAAUGCCAAGGAAUCGGCCUGGUAGUGGGGGAUAACGUUCGGAAACGGGCGCUAAUACCGCAUACUAUCAGAUGAGCCUAGGUGGGAUUGGCAAGUUGGUGGGGUAAAGGCCUACCAAGGCGACGAUCCGUAGCUGGUCUGAGAGGAUGAGCAGUCACACUGGAACUGAGACACGGUCCAGACGCCUACGGGAGGCAGCAGUGGGGAAUAUUGGACUAUGGGCGAAAGCCUGAUCCAGCCAUGCCGCGUGUGUGAAGAAGGUCUUCGGGUUGUAAAGCACUUUAAGUUUGGAGGCGUUACCAGCAGAAUAAGCACCGGCUAACUUCGUGCCAGCCGCCGCGGUAAUAC